rnacentral:rRNA from 1 species
GACGAACGCUGGCGGCGUGCUUAGCACAUGCAAGUCGAACGGAAAGGCCCUGCUUUUGUGGGGUGCUCGAGUGGCGAACGGGUGAGUAACACGGGAGUAACCUGCCCUUGACUUGGGGAUAACUUGAGGAAACUGGGGCUAAUACCGGAUAGGAGCUCCUGCUGCAUGGGGGGGGUUGGAAAGUUUGGGCUGUGGGGGGUGGACGCGCGGCUUGUAAGCUUGUGGGGGGGGUAGUGGCUUACAAAGGGUUUGGCGGGUAGCCGGCCUGAGAGGGUGACCGGCCACAUUGGGACUGAGAUACGGCCAAGCCUCCACCGGGAGGCAGCGGUGGGGAAUAUGGCACAAUGGGCCGAAGCCUGAGCCAGCAACGCCGCGUGCGGAAUGCCGGCUUUCGGGUUGUAACCCGCUUUGGCCUGUGACGAAGCGUGAGUGACGGUACUGGGUAAAGAAGCACCGGCUAACUACGUG